ACAUCAGCUAUUGUGCCCAUGUGAGGGUGUGAAUGCCUGGGUCCUCUUGCAAGCAUGGAUGCCCAACAAGCCCUCAUGCAAKCAUCCUUUACACCUCAACCACAAAAGCAAGAAAACAUGUUUGCCAUAACAGGCCCGAAAGAGGGCAAAUCCCCAGAGGACUCUAGCUCAGCUACACGCGAUCACGCUGUUGCCAUUCUAUAAGCCGAACAGCUCACAAGUUGCGCAACAUAUCCUGCAUGUUCAACUGUAGCACAUGCGAUCACAAAAACAUUCCUGAAAGUACYGCUGUUCUAAUGCAUGCAUGAUGCAUGCGCAGCUGCUCCUGUACUAAUGAUGCCAGAAAAACAAGUUGCACAAAAAAUGGGAUGCCCAAACAUGAAAAGAAAGUCAAUGCAUGGAGCUCCUGUGCCACUGCUGUUGCUGCAAAUAUUCAACAUCAGUGUUCCUCACAGAUGCGGCGCAAGCAAUUUGGCAUUUAAAAGUGGAGCCAGUUGAAAACUCC
rnacentral:lncRNA from 1 species